UUGAAUCUUCAGUUUCUGCUCUCAGGUCAAACAACUGCCAUUCAGUUCACUCAGUUUACAGCUUGGCACCACUGAUAUCCUGCAUCCAAGUGCUAAUCACAAGGCAACACCUGCCUAAAACCCGCAAUAGUGUACAGCCAGUAUGUAAUCAAAGGACUACUCCUGAAAUUAUGCACAAAGAUCUUACUGUAAAUCAUCUGUUGAGAAUGUUGGCAAGCACUUUCCAUCCAAGAGCUGAACCAAUAAUGGUGGAAAUCACAGGGGAAUAAUGAUAUGCAGAUAAUCAGUGUGUGAUGGAUCAGGAUCCAGCAUGGAUCCAGCACAUAUGAACAUAGAACAGGAGAGAAGCUGUGGAUGCUCCGCAAGCACCUGAGUGAAUAAGCUUUCCAGUCUCUUACCAAAUGCAUCACCUGUGGUGCUUGAUUAUCUAACACAAAGACAGUUUUGAUUUAGAAAUGGGAAUAUCUUGACUUGUGACAAGCGAGAAGAGCAACAAAUUCACUGAAAAUGAUGACUCUCCUGCCCUUCAAUCCUAGCUUCAGACUCCUGCAUGUCUCUGUAACUGAUGUGAUGGGACCAGUGUAAUGCAUGCUGAGUUGUCUUACAAAUUAGACGUUGAAUAGCCUGGCUAUUGGAAGCAUGCAGCAUUAGCUUUAACCUAAUUUUUAUGUGCUGAAAGACUUUCUUUCCCUUGAUCUAAGGUGAAUUCAAUGUAUCACUUUAGAACUUGUGCAUUUUCAAAGGUUGAUGCAGAUCUCUUUCAAUAAGCUGAUAAUAAGAAGGAAUGAAAAUGAAAAAGAAGAGAGAAAAAUCAAAUGGAAUUCAGCUGCAGAAAAUCUCCCUUAAAUCUGGGAGUAUGGUAAGUCAAAUGAAUGAUAAGGAUGGCUUCCAAGCAUUUUAAUAUCCGUUUUGAAAGGCUUAGACGGAAGGAUCAUAAAAGUCACGUGAAUUGAGGUGACAAGCAAUGAGACUGGAGCAAUAACCACUUCUAACUGCCGCAAAGUGAUCUUUGAAUCUGCCUGAUUGUUUCCUCCAGCAGCUGCAGUGGGUUAUUUCCUGUCAAAAAUACAAUACAAACCAUGGGCUUAAUGGCAGGGCGCUGCAGAAGGCUUGCAUGAGGAAACUACAGGAUAUUAAAAGGACUUUGCAUCCCUUGGAAAGAUGCUAAAGAGAUCAGGAGUGCAAGAAGUGUUCUGCAUUGUCCAGGAAAGAAGGAGGAGAACAGAUCGGGUAAAUUACUGGCUGAAGGAAUGGUGUCAUGAUCAAGGUUUUGGGUACUGUGAUACUGGGCAGGCCUUUGAGAGACCAGGUGUGUGGGCAUCAGAUGGAGUGAGACUAACCAGAUGGAGCAAAAGUGUUCUGGAGAGCAAGCUGGCUGGACUGAUUACCAGAUCUUUAAAGUAGAUGAGGAUAGAAUUCCUCAUGACAGAGAGAGGCCUGGUGAUGCUGCCAUUUUAGUAAACUAUGGAGAAAAGCCUCUCAGUUCUCCAGUUGGAUCUUGUGAGGUCUCUUCAGAGAAGAUAACAUUGCCAACAGCCUGACUUAAACUUUCUUGCACCAUUCUAGAGAUACCUGCACCUUUGGCUUUCCUCAAGUGCCUGUAUGGGAAACAAACAGGAAGAACUAGAGAUCUGUAUGUGGUCAAAGGGCCACGAUCUCAUUGCAAUCACAGACACAUGUUGGGACAGCUCACGUGACUGGAAUUGUGUCAUGAAUAUCUGUGUCCUCUUUAGGAAAGACAGGUUGGUGAGGCAAGGUGGUGGAGUUGCUCUUUAUGCGAGAGAGCAACUAGAAUGUAUUACUGAGCUCCAUUUGAGAGGGAAUGAUGAACAAGUGGAGAG